AUUGAACGCUGGCGGGAUGCUUUACACAUGCAAGUCGAACGGCAGCACGGACUUCGGUCUGGUGGCGAGUGGCGAACGGGUGAGUAAUACAUCGGAACGUGCCCAGUCGUGGGGGAUAACGUAGCGAAAGCUACGCUAAUACCGCAUACGAUCUAAGGAUGAAAGCGGGGGAUCGCAAGACCUCGCGCGAUUGGAGCGGCCGAUGGCAGAUUAGGUAGUUGGUAGGGUAAAGGCCUACCAAGCCGACGAUCUGUAGCUGGUCUGAGAGGAUGAUCAGCCACACUGGGACUGAGACACGGCCCAGACUCCUACGGGAGGCAGCAGUGGGGAAUUUUGGACAAUGGGCGCAAGCCUGAUCCAGCCAUUCCGCGUGCAGGAUGAAAGCCUUCGGGUUGUAAACUGCUUUUGUACAGAACGAAAAGGCUCUGGCUAAUACCCGGGGCUCAUGACGGUACUGUAAGAAUAAGCACCGGCUAACUACGUGCCAGCAGCCGCCGUAA
rnacentral:rRNA from 1 species